GAUGAACGCUGGCGGCGUGCCUAAUACAUGCAAGUCGAGCGAACAGACGAGGAGCUUGCUCCUCUGACGUUAGCGGCGGACGGGUGAGUAACACGUGGAUAACCUACCUAUAAGACUGGGAUAACUUCGGGAAACCGGAGCUAAUACCGGAUAAUAUAUUGAACCGCAUGGUUCAAUAGUGAAAGACGGUUUUGCUGUCACUUAUAGAUGGAUCCGCGCCGCAUUAGCUAGUUGGUAAGGUAACGGCGUACCAAGGCAACGAUGCGUAGCCGACCUGAGAGGGUGAUCGGCCACACUGGAACUGAGACACGGUCCAGACUCCUACGGGAGGCAGCAGUAGGGAAUCUUCCGCAAAGGGCGAAAGCCUGACGGAGCAACGCCGCGUGAGUGAUGAAGGUCUUCGGAUCGUAAAACUCUGUUAUUAGGGAAGAACAAAUGUGUAAGUAACUAUGCACGUCUUGACGGUACCUAAUCAGAAAGCCACGGCUAACUACGUG
rnacentral:rRNA from 1 species